AUAAGACCGAUAAGUUGAUUCGAGAUCUCACUCUCAAUAUCUUGACCUAAAAAAAGUAAUCUUUCUCGAUAAAGUCGGUUGUAUACGUCAAUCCAAUUUGAACUAUCCUCUCCGGGAUUUCGAAAAGGGACUUUUGGAACACCAAUAGGCAUUAAAUGAAAUAAAAAAAAAUGAAGUACUCUAUUUCACUUUGAUG